rfam:Ovis aries breed Texel chromosome 1, whole genome shotgun sequence.
UCCCUGGUGGCUUAGAUGGUAAAGAAUCUGCCUCCAAUGCAGGAGACCCAAGUUCAAUACCUGGGUCGGGAA